AACAAAGAUCGAAGUAAAUACUAAGUACUGGUGCCGCGGGAGGUUAUAAUUGAUUACUCCUGCGACUCUUGUGCUUACUAUGUCAAGCGAUCAAUAACAUC
rnacentral:pre_miRNA from 1 species